rnacentral:rRNA from 1 species
UGCCCCAUAUGCCCACGGAAUCGCAUGGUUCAGUGGGGAAAGUUCCGACGGUAAAGGAUGAGCAUGCGUCCCAUUAGCUAGUUGGUGAGGUAACGGCUCACCAAGGCGACGAUGGGUAGGGGGCCUGAGAGGGUGAUCCCCCACACUGGUACUGAGACACGGACCAGACUCCUACGGGAGGCAGCAGUGAGGAAUAUUGGGCAAUGGAGGCAACUCUGACCCAGCCAUGCCGCGUGCAGGAAGACGGCCCUCUGGGUUGUAAACUGCUUUUGUUUGGGAAUAAACCCUUCUACGUGUAGGAGGCUGAAGGUACCUUACGAAUAAGCAUCGGCUAACUCCGUGCCAGCAGCCGCGGUAAUACGGAGGAUGCAAGCGUUAUCCGGAUUUAUUGGGUUUAAAGGGUCCGUAGGCGGAUCUUUAAGUCAGUGGUGAAAGCCCACGGCUCAACUGUGGAACUGCCAUUGAUACUGGAGAUCUUGAGUGUAGUAGAAGUAGGCGGAAUAGGGCAUGUAGCGGUGAAAUGCAUAGAUAUGCCCUAGAACACCGAUUGCGAAGGCAGCUUACUAUGUUACAACUGACGC